rnacentral:lncRNA from 1 species
AAAUGUUUCCCUGCUGCUUGCUGUGAGCUGUAGGAUUUUCCUAUCGGGAUGCUUUCUGCUUUAGGAAUGUAUUUAAAUUUGAGUUAAGGGAUUUUGACUUUGAUGGUUGUAUUGGCGUGUGGCAGGGCCAAGGACCGGUCCUAGAACUCGGACUCCCCAGGUGGACUUCAAAUCAGCAGCCGCUUAUUUAAAUGCUAUUAUUUAAAGCACUGCGCUCCCAUCUAGGGAGUAUCGCGGGUUAGAAUCAAUUCUUAGAAAUUAGAAAAAUUCUCGGAUUUUUUUAAAGAUAAGCUUGAAUUUGAUAAAAAUAUGCCACGAGAUUCUAGAAUUUUUGGAGCCAAAUUGCUUCGUCUUUGCCCCCCUCCGCCCACUAAGAACUUGUACUUUCCCCUAAAGUCUAGUCAAGAAUGUAUCAAGUUUUUCCUGUGAUUAGCGUUGCUAUUAUGAAAAUAAUUUCUUUAUUUUCUAAAUAUGAUACCAUAUAACACAAUCUCUUAAGAAAAAUACACCCCCACCAGGUGGGUUUUCCAUAGUUCCCACCUGAAGGCUAAUAUAAAUAGAAGAAGAAAGGGGAAUCAGAUGCCAGAACCUAAAUACCAAUAAGAAGAGGCAAACGUGUACUUUGGGAUGGAACACUUGUGAGCAUCUCAAGCAGGUUGUGGGGACUUAACAAUUUUUUCUAAUUUUGUCAGGCAAUCUUAGAAUGCCUGAAAAGUUUAUAAUGCUGUCCACAAAAUGAAUGAAGCAAUCUGGUAAUUAUUGGUUUCCCUGCUUGUCAGUAUUUAAGUCUGACCUUCAUUAAAAUGCUGUGAUAACUGUUACGGCAGAAAAAAAGAAAAACAGUAAUUGAAAUUUCCAUUUGGAAUGUGCUUGCGUAUUUGGAAGUCGGGUGUGCCCAGCAUUCCAAAAACGUUCAUCACUGAAAACAUAUUAAGCUAUUGUGGGAAGCAGCCCUACUUCCUUUGUGCACCGCUUUCUGCUCAACAGACUUUCCAAAGCUAAUGAUUAACUGUGUAUGGUAUCAUUGCCAUGAAUUUUAAGCUUCCCUAACAAAAGCUGUACUUGAUUUCUUUUAAGGGAUGUGUGGCAGUUAGAUUAACAAAUAAACGGGUAAUACAACCUUUUUCACUCUCUUAGGUCUUCAUUUACUCAGCAAAUAUUUACUAAUUUUAAGACAGCCAUUGUGCUUGUUGGGGUUAUAAAGAUGAAUAAGGCAUAGAAAACUGCCUGUCUGGACCACACAAUCUGGUGAGGGAAAUUAGCAGAUAAACAGAUAAUUACAGUAUAAGGGAGAGAAGAAAGAGAAUGAACAUACUGAUACUUUACUAUGCACUUUAUACCUUAUUUAAUCCUUAAAACAACCCACAAGUAGGUAUCAUAGUCCCAUGAUACCAUGAAACUGUAGGAAAGGUUUAAGUAACUUACCCAGUGUCUCCUAAUAAAUAUUUUAGCC